GUGCCAGCCGCCGCGGUAAUACGUAGGGUGCAAACGUUGUUCGGAAUCACUGGGCAUAAAGAGCGCGUAGGCGGUCUGACAAGUCCCCUGUGAAAGCCCCCGGCUUAACCGGGGAACUGCAUGGGAUACUGUUGGGCUAGAGUGCAGGAGGGGAGAGCGGAAUUCCUGGUGGAGCGGUGAAAUGCGUAGAUAUCAGGAGGAACGCCGGCGGCGAAAGCGACUCUCUGGCCUGUAACUGACGCUGAGGCGCGAAAGCUAGGGGAGCAAACGGGAUUAGAAACCCCCGUAGUCC
rnacentral:rRNA from 1 species